rnacentral:rRNA from 1 species
UUGAACGCUGGCGGCAUGCCUUACACAUGCAAGUCGAACGGCAGCACGGGAGCAAUCCUGGUGGCGAGUGGCGAACGGGUGAGUAAUAUAUCGGAACGUGCCCAGUCGUGGGGGAUAACGUAGCGAAAGCUACGCUAAUACCGCAUACGAUCUAUGGAUGAAAGCGGGGGAUCGCAAGACCUCGCGCGAUUGGAGCGGCCGAUAUCAGAUUAGGUAGUUGGUGAGGUAAAGGCUCACCAAGCCGACGAUCUGUAGCUGGUCUGAGAGGACGACCAGCCACACUGGGACUGAGACACGGCCCAGACUCCUACGGGAGGCAGCAGUGGGGAAUUUUGGACAAUGGGCGCAAGCCUGAUCCAGCAAUGCCGCGUGCAGGAUGAAGGCCUUCGGGUUGUAAACUGCUUUUGUACGGAACGAAACGGUGAGCUCUAAUACAGUUUGCUAAUGACGGUACCGUAAGAAUAAGCACCAGCUAACUACGUG